GAAAGCGUGGGGAGCAANCAGGAUUAGAUACCCUGGUAGUCCACGCCGUAAACGAUGGGUGCUAGGUGUUAGGCCCUUUCCGGGGCUUAGUGCCGCAGCUAACGCAUUAAGCACUCCGCCUGGGGAGUACGACCGCAAGGUUGAAACUCAAAGGAAUUGACGGGGGCCCGCACAAGCGGUGGAGCAUGUGGUUUAAUUCGAAGCAACGCGAAGAACCUUACCAGGUCUUGACAUCCCUCUGACCGCUCUAGAGAUAGAGUUUUCCUUCGGGACAGAGGUGACAGGUGGUGCAUGGUUGUCGUCAGCUCGUGUCGUGAGAUGUUGGGUUAANNNNNNCAACGAGCGCAACCCCUAUUGUUAGUUGCCAUCAUUGAGUUGGGCACUCUAGCGAGACUGCCGGUAAUAAACCGGAGGAAGGUGGGGAUGACGUCAAAUCAUCAUGCCCCUUAUGACCUGGGCUACACACGUGCUACAAUGGCUGGUACAACGAGUCGCAAGCCGGUGACGGCAAGCUAAUCUCUGAAAGCCAGUCUCAGUUCGGAUUGUAGGCUGCAACUCGCCUACAUGAAGUCGGAAUCGCUAGUAAUCGCGGAUCAGCACGCCGCGGUGAAUACGUUCCCGGGCCU
rnacentral:rRNA from 1 species